AUUGAACGCUGGCGGCAUGCCUUACACAUGCAAGUCGAACGGUAACAGGUCUUCGGAUGCUGACGAGUGGCGAACGGGUGAGUAAUACAUCGGAACGUGCCUAGUAGUGGGGGAUAACUACUCGAAAGAGUGGCUAAUACCGCAUGAGAUCUACGGAUGAAAGCAGGGGAUCGCAAGACCUUGUGCUACUAGAGCGGCCGAUGGCAGAUUAGGUAGUUGGUGGGAUAAAAGCUUACCAAGCCGACGAUCUGUAGCGGGUCUGAGAGGACGAUCGGCCACACUGGGACUGGGACACGGCCCAGACUCCUACGGGAGGCAGCAGUGGGGAAUUUUGGACAAUGGGCGCAAGCCUGAUCCAGCAAUGCCGCGUGCAGGAUGAAGGCCUUCGGGUUGUAAACUGCUUUUGUACGGAACGAAAAGCCCUGGGUUAAUACCCUGGGGUCAUGACGGUACCGUAAGAAUAAGCACCGGCUAACUACGUGCCAGCCGCCGCCGUAACAC
rnacentral:rRNA from 1 species